AGAGAGAGACAUGCGCGCAUAUCAAUAAGCGGAGGAAAAGAAACUAACAAGGAUUCCCCUCGUAACGGCGAGUGAAGCGGGAAGAGCUCAAAUUUGAAAUCUUAAAGGGUUUCCCUUUACGAAUUGUAGUUUAAAGAAGUGUUUUCUGUUGAGGUUUUGGUAAAAGUUCUUUGGAAUAGGACAUCAUAGAGGGUGAGAAUCCCGUAUUUGACCUUUACUUUCCAACUUUGUGAUACACUUUCAAAGAGUCGGAUUGUUUGGGAAUGCAGUCCAAAAUGGGUGGUAAAUUUCAUCUAAAGCUAAAUAUUGGCGAGAGACCGAUAGCGAACAAGUACCGUGAGGGAAAGAUGAAAAGAACUUUGAAAAGAGAGUUAAACAGUACGUGAAAUUGUCAAAAGGGAAGCGUUUGACACCAGUGUUGUUUUUCUGAAAAUCAAUUAAAGAACUGUUUAUGCUAAGUUGUUUAGACUUUAUCAGCUAACUGUUUAGUUUUGAGCUUUUCUUUAAUGCACUUUUCAGUUAACAAGUCAACAUCAAUUUCUUUUGCUGUAGAAAAGCUUGAGGAAGGUGGCUUGAGAUUCGUCUUAAGUGUUUAUAGCCUCUUGCCUAUGCAGUCGGAGAGAUUGAGGUCUGCAGCGUAGAUCCUUCGGGGCUAAAUGCAUUUGUGCUAAGUUAUAGCAUUUUAUAGACAACUUGUUGACUAUGAUUUGUCUUGUAGCUUACUCGCUUAUGUUAUUUUACCUACGCUUAGGAUGUUGAGCGCAUGUCUCUCUCU
rnacentral:rRNA from 1 species